CCCUAGCCCCUCACUUCUGCAGGCUUCGCACUAGCCAUCUGCACCCUCCAGAGUCACCUGCUGAGACAGGAAGGGAAUGGGAGGAAAAAGGGAGCAGAAUGACUCUCCCAGCUUCUGAGAAAAUUCCAAGCUCCCCAGUGUGGUGAUUCCACCCUGCAAGGGGGCACUCUGACAGCUCAGGGGGAGAGCAAAUUUAUUUCUUUUCAUGCUUUAAGAUGUUAUUGGCUUCAUAUUGUUUUAAUGCAGUACAUAAUUACAGAAACUGCUCUGAAAAUCUGUAUAUUUUAUCUGUGCUUUAUUAUAGCCAGAAUAUUCCCCAAUUCUUUUUCUUCUACAUGAACCAGCUUAAAAUAUAUUUUGGCGUCCUUUAUGUCAUCUUGAAAUUGAAUAGCCAAUUCUUACUGUAAUGAAAAUACUUAUGCGCCAGCCGGGUGAUAUACAACACCACACUCUAAUUAUGGCUGUGCUUUAAUUAACCUGAAUUGAAGAGUGUUAUCAUUAAACUGCUGGUAACUUUGA